AUCCAGAUGACGAGACCCAAAUAGGACGAAAUGCGCAUUGUGGAU
rfam:Trichobilharzia regenti genome assembly, scaffold: TRE_scaffold0000264